rnacentral:rRNA from 1 species
AUUGAACGCUGGCGGCAGGCUUAACACAUGCAAGUCGAACGGUAACAGGAAGAAAGCUUGCUUUCUUUGCUGGCGAGUGGCGGACGGGUGAGUAAUGCUUGGGAAUCUGUUUUAUGGAGGGGGAUAACUACGGGAAACUGUAGCUAAUACCGCGUAAUAUCGAGAGAUUAAAUGUGUGGGACCGCAAGGCCACAUGCCAUGAAGUGAGCCCAAGUGGGAUUAGAUAGUUGGUGAGGUAAUGGCUCACCAAGUCGGCGAUCUCUAGCUGGUCUGAGAGGAUGACCAGCCACACUGGGACUGAGACACGGCCCAGACUCCUACGGGAGGCAGCAGUGGGGAAUAUUGCACAAUGGGCGCAAGCCUGAUGCAGCCAUGCCGCGUGAAUGAAGAAGGCCUUCGGGUUGUAAAGUUCUUUCGGUGGUGAGGAAGGUUGACGUGUUAAUAGCACGUUGAUUUGACGUUAGCCACAGAAGAAGCACCGGCUAACUCCGUGCCAGCAGCCGCGGUAAUACGGAGGGUGCGAGCGUUAAUCGGAAUAACUGGGCGUAAAGGGCACGCAGGCGGUGACUUAAGUGAGGUGUGAAAGCCCUGGGCUUAACCUAGGAAUUGCAUUUCAUACUGGGUCGCUAGAGUAUUUUAGGGAGGGGUAGAAUUCCACGUGUAGCGGUGAAAUGCGUAGAGAUGUGGAGGAAUACCGAAGGCGAAGGCAGCCCCUUGGGAAUAUACUGACGCUCAUGUGCGAAAGCGUGGGGAGCAAACAGG